ensembl:lncRNA
AUGUCCAAGCGCUUCCUUCUCUUCAUAGGUAGCCCGAAGACGCGACAAUAUUUUGAGUUACUCUUUGCUGGGCUGUGGUCGCCAAACACUUCUAGGGAUGACUUCUGGGAACAUUGUAUUCUCAAGGCUAAAUAUCAUGCCAUGGUUCUGGGUAAUCUUACGCAGGACAGCGUAAGCAGGAAGAGCCACAUUCAGCUGCAGACGGAGACUAUGACCUACCUUGCACUGAUGCUUGGUUCAAAAGUGCAUGGUGCGUGGAAGGAGAGCUGUGCAGGCUCAGAGUGUCUGCCCGCGUUACCAGAUGUGAGAACACGUCCAUCCAUUGGCUACCAUUGGACUUGUCGCCAAAUGCUGUCAAUUGCCAGCCUUGAUCUUUUGAAAUCACACAACAGAUCAAAUGUGUGUGUGAGAAAGAGAGACAGACACACACACACACACACACACACACAGACAAAGAGACAGAGACAAAGAGACAGAGAGAGAGACAGACACACAGACAGAGACAGACAGACACGCAUACACACAGAGACAGACAGACACACACACAGAGGGGGAGGAAAUUGGCUAAAGUGUUCAAAGAGAAUUGGGCAAAACCCCCAGGGUCCUGUGCCAUUGUCUGGGAAGGCUUUCUAUACCAACUUUAGAUGCUUCUACAACAUGUCCUUAGAAUUUCAGCUCACAUUUAGCCGGUGAGCACAGUGUGCUUAAAACCAGUGGCCAAAAAAAAAAGUUUAAAAAAUUGCCAAAAAGCAAGAAAAAAAUGUACUACUGUUUAAAACCAAGCUGUAUAUACUUAACCUUUUUUUUUAGCAGAGAAUAAUAUUUAUUUGCAUAGUCUAUUUAUUGCAUUCGGAUUACACUGUUGAUGUACCAAGAAGAAAUCCACGACCCCAAGGCAAGAACUCUUACCUCAGGGGUACCUUUAAUUGGGACCGCCAUUAACGUUGUCAACUCGCAUUAAGGCUAGCAAGAUAGAAACCCCCCAAUCAGGGACGUCUACCGCACUUCUCAGGGACUACGGUCAGUAGUUAUCCACUCUCCGAAGCACUGGUAGGUAUGAAACUGUUGGUUGAUUUACCAGAAUCCCCCGUGACAGUGUUUUCCUUCCUCUCCCCGCCUGUGGGCUCUGUACAUAGAGUAGUGUUGCAUAUUUAUGAACGCUAGUGAGCAAUAAUUUAUAUGUAAAAAUGGCCAAGCAAUAUAAGGUGAAACCUUGUACAAGUGACAGUGACCUUAGAUGGUAUUUUCAAGUGUUUUUUAAACUGCUUUCCAAAAUAUAUGACUAUUAAAGACUCUUGAAUUGGUUUCCUUCUUGCUUCUUCCUAUCCGCCGUGGCUACGUAUCGAAGACUCCUUUGCCGGAACCUUGUGCUGUCCUGGGAGGGGGAAGAGCACACUGAUGGAAGCAGACGCCUUCCAUGUGGUUGGAGGUUCCUCCCCCGGAAAGGUCCAGUUCUGGCUAGGCACUGCUUCGUUCUCAGCAGAUCAUGGGCGGGUGGUCCCAUCUUCCUCCCACUUAGAUAUCCUUUUUUCUUUCUCACUUCUGGAUUUACAUUCCCCACCCCAGGAGCCUCCACAAGAAAGGACAAAUCAGCAAGACCAACCCAACCCAAAAUUCCACCCCAAGGGGCCCCCCAGCC